GAUGAACGCUGGCGGCGUGCCUAAUACAUGCAAGUCGAGCGAACAGACGAGGAGCUUGCUCCUCUGACGUUAGCGGCGGACGGGUGAGUAACACGUGGAUAACCUACCUAUAAGACUGGGAUAACUUCGGGAAACCGGAGCUAAUACCGGAUAAUAUAUUGAACCGCAGGGUGCAAUAGUGAAAGACGGCUUUGCUGUCACUUAUAGAUGGAUCCGCGCCGCAUUAGCUAGUUGGUAAGGUAACGGCUUACCAAGGCGACGAUGCGUAGCCGACCUGAGAGGGUGAUCAGCCACACUGGAACUGAGACACGGUCCAGACUCCUACGGGAGGCAGCAGUGGGGAAUCUUCCGCAAAGGGCGAAAGCCUGACGGAGCAACGCCGCGUGAGUGAUGAAGGUCUUCGGGUCGUAAAGCUCUGUUAUUAGGGAAGAACAAAUGUGUAAGUAACUAUGCACGUCUUGACGGUACCUAAUGAGUAAGCCCCGGCUAACUACGUG
rnacentral:rRNA from 1 species